rnacentral:rRNA from 1 species
UACGUAGGGUGCAAGCGUUAAUCGGAAUUACUGGGCGUAAAGCGUGCGCAGGCGGUUAUGUAAGACAGUUGUGAAAUCCCCGGGCUCAACCUGGGAACUGCAUCUGUGACUGCAUAGCUAGAGUACGGUAGAGGGGGAUGGAAUUCCGCGUGUAGCAGUGAAAUGCGUAGAUAUGCGGAGGAACACCGAUGGCGAAGGCAAUCCCCUGGACCUGUACUGACGCUCAUGACACCGAA